GAUGAACGCUGGCGGCGUGCCUAAUACAUGCAAGUCGAGCGGUAACACUUCGGGUGACGAGCGGCGGACGGCUGAGUAACGCGUAGGAACAUACCCCAAAGUGAGGGAUAAGCACCGGAAACGGUGUCUAAUACCGCAUGUGGUCUUCGGAUUAAAGCUUCGGCGCUUUGGGAAUGGCCUGCGUAUGAUUAGCUUGUUGGUGAGGUAAUGGCUCACCAAGGCGACGAUCAUUAGCUGGUCUGAGAGGAUGAUCAGCCAGACUGGGACUGAGAACGGCCCAGACUCCUACGGGAGGCAGCAGUAGGGAAUUUUCCACAAUGGACGAAAGUCUGAUGGAGCAACGCCGCGUGCAGGAUGAAUGCCUUCGGGUUGUAAACUGCUUUUCUCUGUGACGAUUAUGACGGUAGCAGAGGAAUAAGGAUCGGCUAACUCCGUGCCAGCAGCCGCCGCGGA
rnacentral:rRNA from 1 species